AUUGAACGCUGGCGGCAGGCCUAACACAUGCAAGUCGAACGGUAACAGGAAGAAUCUUGCUUCUUUGCUGACGAGUGGCGGACGGGUGAGUAAUGUCUGGGACACUGCCUGAUGGAGGGGGUUAACUACUGGAAACGGUAGCUAAUACCGCAUAACGUCGCAAGACCAAAGAGGGGGACCUUCGGGCCUCUUGCCAUCGGCUGUGCCCAGGUGGGAUUAGCUAGUAGGUGGGGUAACGGCUCACCUAGGCGACGAUCCCUAGCUGGUCUGAGAGGAUGACCAGCCACACUGGAACUGAGACACGGUCCAGACUCCUACGGGAGGCAGCAGUGGGGAAUAUUGCACAAUGGGCGCAAGCCUGAUGCAGCCAUGCCGCGUGUAUGAAGAAGGCCUUCGGGUUGUAAAGUACUUUCAGCGGGGAGGAAGGGAGUAAAGUUAAUACCUUGACUCAUUGACGUUACCCGCAGAAGAAGCACCGGCUAACUCCGUG
rnacentral:rRNA from 1 species